rnacentral:rRNA from 1 species
CGCCCGCGCGCGCGGCGGGCUACGGGAGGCAGCAGUGAGGAAUAUUGGUCAAUGGGCGGAAGCCUGAACCAGCCAAGUAGCGUGCAGGAUGACGGCCCUAUGGGUUGUAAACUGCUUUUAUACAGGAAUAAAGUUAGCCACGUGUGGUUAUUUGUAGGUACUGUAUGAAUAAGGACCGGCUAAUUCCGUGCCAGCAGCCGCGGUAAUA